GGGGAACCAAAGGCUAGCUGACGCAUGGAGGAGAAUGGAUUCAGUCAAAGUUUUAUGGAUUUCAUCUCAAGUUGAGGCUCAUUUACAGAUUGCAGAUAACGAGGAUAUGAAGAACAUGAAGAUGGACUGGUUUCACAUGCAGAUGUUGCAGCAUCUGCAUCUGAUGUUGAGAAGACACUCAAUCUACUUGCCAAUCCUCAUCUGAUUUUGCUGGGUUAGUGUGUCAUUGCACAUGAUGAAGAAGAAACAUUUACUGAUGGCUGAGAUAUAAAAUUGUUAACAUUGCUGUUGUGCACAAUUGUUAAAAUUGCUUCUUUUUUUUCUUUUUUCUUUUUGUGAGUGUCCAGUCAACAUUUUUGACUGCAGUUGCAACAGUGUUUGCUGUGUACUACAUCUUCAACCUGCAGUAUCAAGAGGAGGCUUGUUGCACGUUAGAAUUUUUUCAAAGGUAAGUGUUUUCCUUUUUGCGUAUGUUUUUAUCACUCUCUUAGAAUCUGUGGUAACACUUUAUAAUAAGUAUACAGUAGUAAAGUAAUAAAUUAUUUG